GCGGGAAAUACAAGCUGGGCCGCAAGAUCGGAAGCGGAUCCUUCGGCGAGAUCUUCCUCGCGACUCACGUCGAUACGUUCGAGAUCGUUGCUGUCAAAAUUGAGAGCACGAAGACGAAGCAUCCGCAAUUGCUCUACGAGGCAAAGCUAUAUAGCGUUCUUCAAGGAGGAAGUGGUAUUGCGAGCACGAAGUGGUGCGGGGUUGACGGGGAGGACAACGUGCUUGUUAUCGAUUUGCUUGGGCCGAGCCUAGAAGAUCUCUUUGUAUAUUGCGGGAGGAAGUUUUCGUUGAAGACGGUGCUAAUG
rnacentral:misc_RNA from 1 species